GAUGAAGAACGUAGUAAAAUGCGAUAAGUAAUGUGAAUUGCAGAAUUCAGUGAAUCAUCGAAUCUUUGAUCGCACAUUGCGCCCGCCAGUAUUCUGGCGGGCAUGCCUGUUCGAGCGUCAUUUCAACCCUCAAGCACAGCUUGGUGUUGGGACUCGCGUUAAUUCGCGUUCCCCAAAUUGAUUGGCGGUCACGUCGAGCUUCCAUAGCGUAGUAGUAAAACCCUCGUUACUGGUAAUCGUCGCGGCCACGCCGUUAAACCCCAACUUCUGAAUGUUGACCUCGGAUCAGGUAGGAAUACCCGCUGAACUUAAGCAUAUCAAUAAGCGGAGGA
rnacentral:misc_RNA from 1 species